UACGAAGGGGCUAGCGUUGCUCGGAAUGACUGGGCGUAAAGGGCGCGUAGGCGGCUUGCACCGUCAGAUGUGAAAUUCCUGGCUUAACCUGGGGCUGCAUUUGAUACGUGUGGGCUUGAGUGCGGAAGAGGGUCGUGGAAUUCCCAGUGUAGAGGUGAAAUUCGUAGAUAUUGGGAAGAACACCGGUGGCGAAGGCGGCGACCUGGUCCGUGACUGACGCUGAGGCGCGAAGCGUGGGGAGCAAACAGG
rnacentral:rRNA from 1 species